rnacentral:rRNA from 1 species
UCUUGGUCAUUUAGAGGAAGUAAAAGUCGUAACAAGGUCUCCGUUGGUGAACCAGCGGAGGGAUCAUUACUGAGUUACAAACUCCAAACCAUUGUGAACCUAUACCAUGUUGCUUCGGCGUGCCGUCCCGGGCGCGGCUCCGGCCGUGACCCGGACCCAGGCGGCCGCCGGGGACCCAAACCUCUGUUUUCCUAGUGGACUUCUGAGUGGCAUAAGCAAAUAAUCAAAACUUUCAGCAACGGAUCUCUUGGCUCUGGCAUCGAUGAAGAACGCAGCAAAAUGCGAUAAGUAAUGUGAAUUGCAGAAUUCAGUGAAUCAUCGAAUCUUUGAACGCACAUUGCGCCCGCCAGUACUCUGGCGGGCAUGCCUGUCCGAGCGUCAUUUCAACCCUCAGGGCUCUCCGGCACUGCUCGGAGGGCGCUGGUGUUGGGGAUCGGCCGCCCCAGCGGCUGCCGUCCCCUAAACGUAGUGGCGGUCUCACCGUGACCUCCCCUGUGCAGUACUUUCGCUCGCAGAGGGAUAGCGGUGCGGCCACGCCGUAAAACGCCCAACUCUUCAAGGUUGACCUCGGAUCAGGUAGGACUACCCGCUGAACUUAAGCAUAUCAAUA